AUUGAACGCUGGCGGCAGGCCUAACACAUGCAAGUCGAGCGGAUGCAGGGAGCUUGCUCCUGGAUUCAGCGGCGGACGGGUGAGUAAUGCCUAGGAAUCUGCCUGGUAGUGGGGGAUAACGUCCGGAAACGGGCGCUAAUACCGCAUACGUCCUGAGGGAGAAAGUGGGGGAUCUUCGGACCUCACGCUAUCAGAUGAGCCUAGGUCGGAUUAGCUAGUUGGUGGGGUAAAGGCCUACCAAGGCGACGAUCCGUAACUGGUCUGAGAGGAUGAUCAGUCACACUGGGACUGAGACACGGUCCAGACUCCUACGGGAGGCAGCAGUGGGGAAUAUUGGACAAUGGGCGAAAGCCUGAUCCAGCCAUGCCGCGUGUGUGAAGAAGGUCUUCGGAUUGUAAAGCACUGUAAGUUGGGAGGAAGUGCAGUAAGUUAAUACCUUGCUGUUUUGACGGUACCAACAGAAUAAGCACCGGCUAACUUCGUG
rnacentral:rRNA from 1 species